AAAAGGGCUCAUCGAAGCCUUUAGGAACGAAUUUCUUGUUUCCUAAAGGUCAAAAUGAAGCCAACAUUAAGAGUUUUUUUGGAAAUGGUCACUGAUUAGAUUAUAUUUUCUAAUUAAUCAGUAUCUACCCGCCAAAAAUACAAAA
rnacentral:snoRNA from 1 species